AGAGAGAUCAGGAAAGGAAACAGAGGGAAACGUCUCAAUUUCAGGGUGGAGGAGAAGUAGAAGCCUGUGUUGAUGCUUCUUCCAAACAUCCCAGAAUCUUCAACAAGGGUGAGAACAGUGGCAGGCCACCCCUGCUGAUUCAGGAAGGAAGCUGAAGGAAGAAUCCAGAUUGAGAAGCUGCAAUCAAGGCUGGAUCACUUGGUGAGCCCUUCCUCCUCUUUGUCUGUGCGCCUCACCCAGCGAUCCACAGGCACCCCCAAGGAAAGACAGGUGAGCACAGCUACCUUAGCUUUAUGACCCUACCUGAGACUGGGUAUGCUGGCCAAGUGGGCAAUAGAAACCAAGGGCUUAGAGGCUUCCUUCGUUGACUCACUAGCAUUCUUUCCUCCUAGAGCAUCAACUUUACACAAACUCUGUCUAAUGCAAGCCUGGACCAGUCUGAACUGUACAAUGGGUUUGACUGUUGACACCCUAGUCUAGUCUCCAGUGGACUGCGCAGGCUCUGGAGCCCAAACUUCUGGCUUUGAUCCUUAGCUCCACUUCUUACCAGUUAGUUGGGUGACUUUGGGCCAGUUUCUCAAUUUCUCCCUAUCUGCCUCACCCGUAACUGGGGCUCAACCCUACAUUGUAAGAUUUUAUAAGGGAUUAGUUAUUUCAUAAAUUAUAAUGUGUUUAGGAUAGUUCCUGGUACAUAAUAAGCCCCACUUAUGUUGCUAUUAUUACUGUAACUACUUCAAGUGCAAGUAAAGAAACAGUUAUCGCUAUAUUUGCUUCAGAAAACAAUGCCUAAAUAGGAAGCAGUGCGGUGUUCUCCACUUUGGAAUCAGGCAGGCUCAAUUUGACUACUGAUAUUACUACUUAAGUUGUGAACCUGGGCAAGUUAUGAAACUCUUUGAAAUCCGAUUUUCUGUUUAUAAAGUAGAAAUAAUAACACCUGCCUCAUAGGGUUACGGAGAAGAGUCAAUGAAGUGAUGUUUGGGAAGCACUUAGCCACUGGUCAGUAGCCAGGGAAAGGUAGUCAUUAUGGUAAACUGGUCACAUGAACAGGAAACCCAUUAACUCCUGAUACCACUUCAACCACCCUACUUGAUACAACUGACUAAAAUAAUUCCAACCUCUAAGAUACAUACAUACAUAUAUAUAUGUGUGUAUAUAUAUAUAUAUAUAUAGAGAGAGAGAGAGAGAGAGAGAGUCUACACACACACACACACACACACACACAUACAGAGUCAAAGAAUGCAGGGUAAAAUAGUACACUUUUCUGUCUCUGGUGGUAGACUCGGUUCGCUGUCUGGAUUUAUAAAUUACUCAUCACCUCCAACCCCGACCUUCUUUGUCAAUACCAUUUUUAUCCCAGCCUAUGCAUGUUGAUAUAGGGAUUUAGCAGGUUUCAAAAGGGCACUGUGAUGAGAGUACUUCCUGGACCUUCAGAUUUCAACCUCCAGAACAUAUGAAAUUUUGUGAAUUGAAAUGAAGAUAUUUAAGGCAUCACAAGCAGGGCAGCAGCAUUGUUCAACUCCAGGGGGCGCUGUUCUGUCAUAUUGUAUUAAAACUAUCCUCCAAGGGAUGCCUUUAACAGAGGAUACAACAGAAUGGGUGCCACCUGGAGUUGUGCAACAGGAUAGCUCAGAUCCCAAGGCAUAGGAAGUAAGGUCCACUUGCUCCAACUAGGGCUCUCACCCCCGCCCCUUACUUUUCAUGAGUCAGACUCUGUCUUCCAAGCCUUAAUUUGUCCUUGCUGAGUGAGACAGUACUAAUCCCUGCUGAUAUAUUGGAGAGGAGGAGUUGCAGAAUCACUGAUUCUGAGAGUGGAAAGACCUAUACAGGUCAUCAGGCCAAUGCUCUCCAGUGCCCCAGAGGAACAAACCAGUGCAAUUCCAGUUUGUCUUUUGUCAGUAGGUAAAAAGAGUCUCCAGCAAUGGCUUCCAAGGAGUGCUAUGUUUAGUAACCCCUGGUUCUGAUAGAAGACGGUGAGGGAAUGUGCCUCUUUACCCUUGACUCCCUCCACCAGCACCUGUAUUUGAAGUGCUUCUAAAGUGAUGAAUAUGAUAAUGUGAGAAAAAAGAAUCUAUACAUGUAUGUGUAACUGGGUCACUAUGCUGUACAGUAGAAAACUGACAGAACCCGGUAAACCAGCUAUAACGAAAAAAAAACAAAAAAAAACAAAAAUAAAAUUUUUAAAAAAAGUGAUGAAUAGGUUUCCAGAAGAAGGGGGAGAAAGCGUGAUGCUGGCACUCAAUCAAGGUGCAGGGAGAAAAAAAUAGAUAAACCCAAACACCAGUGGAGGGAGAGGGAGAUGAUGGAGAGUCAUGACCCCAGGAACCCUCACCAAGGGGCUGUUUUGUCCUUUUCUACUUUCCUCCCCCUACCUUACUCACGUCUUCCACAACAGUAUUAUAGACAAGAGCUCUUUAGAACUAAAAGACAUCCAUGAAGUUAUCUGGUCCUAAAGCCCUCGGUUUUUAGAUGAGGAAAUGAGUCCCAGAUGUCAGGCAGUACAAAGCAUCCAGCAAAGACAAUUAAUUUAGAAAUCACUUAAUGCUUUCUGCUGCUUUUAGAAGGAGAGAGAAAUGUAUUUAGGUCAGAGUAAGUGGUAUCGUAAACUCUGUUAUAUAGAUAAAGAAGCUAAGGCUCAAAAGUGAGUGGCGAUGCAUCUUCUUUCCUGCUUCUUAAACCUCUCUGCUGUGUUGGACUAUCUAUAGAGGCAUCAAGACUUGAGCUGACCAGAGCCAGGUCCCUGAAAAUUGAGGCUUAGAGGUGGUCCUAAUGGGAAACUUGAUGGGGGGGGAGAGUCCAUUUAAUAUUUCAUUUUUGUUUCUUUUUCUGAAAAUACACACACACACACACACACACACACACACACACACACUGCAAAUGGGAAGAACAGAAGUCUGGAGCCAGAACUCCAGGCUUUUAAAUUUAAUACGUGUGUCAUCUUUCUCAGUUUCACGUUUUCUUUUUCUGUAAAUUAAGCAUUAUUACAGUGUCUUUCUCAUGGCAUUGUUGUAUAGAUCAAACAAAAUAAUGAACAUAAGUGCUUUGUAAACAUGAAGCAGUGAUUUUUAAAUGAUUUGGUUCAAGGACCUUCUUAAAAAUUUGAUGAGUGUUAAAGACCCUCACCAAAAUUCCCACAUGUAGGUACAAAAUUUUGCAUUUAAUUUCAGAGGGUUCACAGAGCAUCUGAAAACCUCUACUGAAUAUCUUCUCUAAAAGGGCUUACCAAAUGUGGACUACGCUGGACAAAUGCAGUAUUUUCCCAACUUGUCACAAAUGAGGAUGCGGCAUUCGUUUAUUUGAUAAACCCAUACUGGGCUCUUACUAGGCACUGGGGGCUGCAGAGGCACAGAUAUCCUUGGAGUAUUAAAGCAAAGGAGUCCCCUCAUAUGCACUGUGUCAACUAAGAAGGUCGCCUUACUAAGGCAUCUGGCCUCAAAGCCUCUGUGUUGUUAUUCUGGUCAGAUUGAAGGUAGUGGUCACCUCUGAUCCGAGACAGGGAUCUCAUACACAAAAAGGUCAAGGGACUUUUCCAAGGUCUAUGACGGUGUUCUUUUCUCCAGGACUUGAUACACCAAAAAGAUUUGGGUUCAGGCGAGCAGAGGGAAGGUGUGUUCCGCUUGGGUGGAGCACAGCUCCCCAUAGUUGUAGGGUCUCCUGGUCUGAACCCAUUAUGCCAAGGAAAGGGUACCUGUAAACAUUUGUCAUUUUUCCACAUCCCACUAAGUACAGCUCUUGCAGACCGUUGCUGCCAAACUAGCAAAUUAAAUAUUUCUGGUGACAUAACUCCAAAUCAGAAACAGUCAUUUUCACUAUGAAGAGAAGAUUUUUUGGUUUGGUUUGGUUUGGUUUCAAAUUCUUGCAGUGCAGGAUUUAAGUCACUCUACCACUUCCUGCUUUGGUGAAGCAUAAAAAGCAUAUUUUCUUUAUCUGAAAAAUGAGGAUAAUAAUUGUGACUUCAUUUAGUUGCUGUGAGAUUAAAUAUUUCAUAUAAAGUGCUCAGAACUGUGCCUAACACAGAGUGAAAGCCCAGCAAGCAGUAAAAAUUAUGAUCCCUUUGAUCCCAUUCUCAACAGCUAUUGUCACAAGCCCAUUGAUUUUACCAGCAAUGAAAAAUAUGUUUUGUUGUAGCUGCUAGUCUCCAACAAUUACUUUUUAAUAUGGCCACUAAUUUGUCUUAGAGAUGACAAUUUUUAUAAUGUCUUGGGCUGGAUUUUCUAAGUACUAGGUUGAGAGGUAUACGAAUUGGGUUGUAUAGGGGAAGCAGGUAGAAUGUGGAAAGAGCUGGUGGGAUAUCCUAAAAGCUGAGGAUAGGAAGAUAAAUUAGAAAAGGAGAAUCAGGAAUUCCCAUUGUGGUUCAGCAGUUAGCAAACCCAAGUAGCAUCUAUGAGGAUGCAGGUUCAAUCCCUGGCCUCACUCAGUGGAUUAAGGAUCCGGUGUUGCUGUGGCUGUGGUGUAGGUUGCAGACAUGGCUCAGGUCCAGUGUUGCUGUGGCUGUGGUGUAGGCCGGUGGCUACAGCUCCAAUUGGACCCCUAGCCUGGGAAUCUCCAUAUGCUGCGGGUGUGGCCCUAAAAAAAAAAAAGACAAAAAGACCAAAAAAAAAAAAA
rnacentral:lncRNA from 1 species